UCCAUAAAUUUUCUUUCUUCUCAUUAUUCAAAACCCCUCAAAAUUGCACCACACCCUCCAACAAAUUCUCUAACCCAAUCAAGCCCUUCUGAUUCUCUUUCUUUCUCUCUGAGAAACAAAAGAAAAAAAAAAACCUAAUUUUGAUCUUCCCCUUCUUCAUCUGUUCCCAAUUUCCAUGGCGUUUUUCAUGUAAUGCCCCAUUUUUCUCUCCCACAUUUCGCCUUUUUUUUUUUUCUGAUAAUCCUUUCCUUCGGCUUCGCCAUAGCCAUUUCUUGAUUCGCCGACGCCUCCAAAGUGCCCGGAUUUUCUUUUCUUUUCUCUCCAAUCAAGUCGCUAGGGUUUGGAAAAUCUCACCCAUUUCCCUUCGCUAGGGUUCAUUCAAUUCAAUCCCUUCCCUUUUUGUACCUAGGGUUUCGUCCCUGUUUGGAUUGCGGAUUUGAUUUUUUGUUUUCGUUAGUUACAGAUUUUCUCUUGAUAGAUAGGUCGCUGUUCUUAGAUUUGUCAGGUUUUAGGUUUUCCUUUUGUUGUUGUAUCUUGAAAGGGAAAGAUAUAGAAACAAAAAUCCGAAAUAAUCUGAUUCUUCUCGUUUUGACACUUGAAGUUUCCCUUUUUUUUAGUUGGAAAAUCUAUACAUUUUGGAGAGAUAUAUUAGGAAAAGAUACUCAUAAUUCGAUAACUCCGAUAGCCAUUUUUAUCUUUCCUUCUGUGCUUAGUCGGAGAUUAGAAUCUUGGAUAGAUAUAGAUAUUGGAGAUAUAGCUUUCAGUUUUUGCCGGCGGUGUAAGGGAAGUAGUGUGGGAAGUUUAAGGCUUUUUUGCAUGGGCGAACAUGAGGCGUGGGCGCAGCCGCCGAGUGGGCUAUUGCCGAAUGGCCUGUUGCCCAACGAAGCCGCCUCCGUGAUGCGGGUGCUGGAUUCCGAGCGUUGGCUGAAGGCCGAGGAGAGGACGGCGGACCUCAUCGCCUGCAUUCAGCCCAACCCGCCUUCCGAGGAGCGCCGGAGUGCUGUUGCGCAUUACGUGCAGCGGCUCAUCACCAAGUGCUUCUCUUGCCAGGUAUUUACGUUUGGAUCUGUGCCCCUGAAGACUUAUUUGCCUGAUGGAGAUAUUGAUUUGACAGCCUUCAGUAAGAACCAGAAUUUGAAGGAGACAUGGGCCCAUCAGGUUCGAGAUAUGCUGGAGAAUGAGGAGAAGAACGAGAAAGCUGAAUUCCAUGUAAAGGAGGUUCAGUACAUUCAGGCAGAAGUGAAGAUAAUCAAGUGCCUUGUGGAAAAUAUUGUGGUAGACAUAUCAUACAAUCAGCUUGGAGGACUGUGCACCCUUUGUUUCCUAGACGAGGUUGAUAAUCUAAUAAAUCAGAACCAUUUAUUCAAGCGUAGUAUUAUAUUGAUAAAAGCAUGGUGUUAUUAUGAAAGCCGUAUACUGGGUGCUCAUCAUGGACUUAUUUCAACUUAUGCGUUGGAAACCUUGGUUCUUUAUAUUUUUCACGUUUUCAAUAAUACAUUUGCUGGACCACUUGAGGUCCUCUACCGUUUUCUAGAGUUUUUUAGCAAGUUUGACUGGGACAAUUUUUGUGUUAGUCUUUGGGGUCCUGUGCCCAUUUGUUCUCUACCAGAUGUAACAGCGGAGCCUCCUAGAAAAGAUGGUGGAGAUUUACUACUCAGCAAGUUGUUUCUUGAUGCUUGUAGCUCAGUGUAUGCUGUUUUCCCCAGUGGUCAAGAAAAUCAGGGGCAGCCUUUUGUUUCCAAGCACUUCAAUGUAAUUGAUCCUUUGCGUAUAAAUAAUAAUCUUGGACGUAGUGUAAGUAAAGGUAACUUCUUUAGAAUACGUAGUGCAUUUGCUUUUGGGGCUAAACGGCUGGGUAGAUUACUGGAUUGCCCAAAAGAGGACCUACUUUUUGAAGUAAAUCAGUUUUUUAUGAACACUUGGGACAGACAUGGAAGUGGACAUCGUCCUGAUGCUCCAAAGAAUGAUCUGCGGUGUUUGAGAUUAUCAAAUCAUGAUCAAUUACAUGAGACUGAAGAUAUCAGAAAUAGUAUGAGCCGAAAAAAGAAUGAGAUUUUAUCUACUCAUGAAACCCAAGAUGAUGGUACACAUGGUUCAUAUAACCGUCCCUCCCAGCAAGGUAGCUUGGAGAGCACGUCCAGAUCCAGUGGUGUCUCGACAUUGUCACGUAAUCAAAGCCAAAAGAAUUCUUGGAUCUCGAACAACUCAAGGAUCUCCGAUCAUAUCAAGAAAGAAACUAGUUCAAACCAGGGUGCUCAGAUGGAUAAAGGUCAGAAAAGUUUGAAAACUGAAAACUUGGUCAAUGAUAUACAGGGAAGGUUUCUUUUUGCGAGGACACGUUCUAGUCCUGAACUUUCUGAUGCAUAUGGUGAAGUCUCUUCGCAAGGUAGGCGUGGCAGAGCCCCAGAGAGUGGGAAGAGCCAAGCUUCGUCAACAAGGUUGGAUAAUGCGAGGAGGACGAAUCCGGAAUCUGAUACAAUGUCAAACCAUGGCAUCAGACCAACUGAUGAUCCCUCAUUAGUCAGACGCGUCUCAUCCCGGCAAAGUCUUGACAUUGGUGUUGAUUCAAAGUGUGUAUCAAAUAGCUACCAGGAUGAGUCAGGCUUGGGGACCACGGCUGAUGAUUUUGCUUCUGUUUCGGGGGCACAAGGGAUGCAUCAGGAGGAGCAAGAUCUCGUAAACAUGAUGGCAGCUUCCACGGCUCAUGGUUUUAAUGGACAGGUUCAUGUUCCAUUAAAUUUAGGUCCUCAUCAUCUACCACUUCCAAUACCACCAUCCUUUCUAGCUUCAAUGGGAUAUGCACAGAGAAAUAUGGCUGGGAUGGUUCCCACAAAUAUUCCCUUGAUUGAGAAUCCAUGGGGUGCAAAUAUGCAAUUUCCACAAGGUGUUGUUCCAUCGCAUUUGACCCAUUACUUCCCUGGCAUGGGAUUGACCUCAGGUCCAGAAGAUCCUGUGGAACCUGCUAAUGAAAAUUUGGGUUCUGUGGAAAUGAAUUCAGGGGAAGCUGAUCGCGGUUUUUGGCAUGAACAGGACAGGGGAUCUACCGGCCAAUUUGAUCUAGAAAAUGGCGGUCUUGACGUGCUUCACACAGAUGAUAAACAGUCAACGUCAUCUGGGUAUAACUUUAAUCCUUCUUCCCGAGUAGGGAGCUCUGGAAGUUCUAUGCGAGACCAACAUAAGUUUGCUAAAGAAGGCCGUGGAUCAGCGAGGGAAAAUCAAAUGUAUGAUUUUCAGUAUCAUGAUACCCAAGGAAAUGAAGUUUUCUCAGAUGAUAGAACUGCAAGUUCGAGGUCCUUGCCUGCCUCACAUACUGGUUCCCAGAGAAGUAAAACUUCCUCGGAGAGUUCAUGGGAAGGAUCAUCAGCAAAGGUCUCAAAGUCAACAAGGGAAAAACGGGGUAGGAAAACUAGUCCUUUUUCAGUUCCAUCUGCUACUCAUACGCAGGAUAAGAGUGUCUCUGAACAUUCCUCUACUCAGGCAGAUGAUGAUAACAGAGAUUGGAAUUCACCAUCACCCAAAAGCACAGAAAUGGCAGAGAGAAGCACAGUACCCCAUUCUUCUGCUUUCUGGCAAGUUCCGAGGCACCAAAUUCCUGGAUUUGAAUCAGGUCAGACGAGUGGAUCUGAUUCAGUAGUACCCCUUGGUCCUGUGCUCUUAAAUCCUCACUCGCGACAGAGAGCUAUGGAUAAUUCUGGGGUUCUUCCCUUUACAUUUUAUGCUACAGGACCACCUGUUCCAUUUGUUACCAUGCUUCCAGUGUACAAUUUCCCAACUGAGGCAGGAACUUCAGAUGCAUCAACGAGUAAUUUUAGUGGGGAUGAAGGAGUGGAUAACAGUGAUUCUGGUCAGAAUUUUGACUCCUCUGAGGCACUUGAUCAACAGCAUGAACCAUCAAAUAUUGUAGAUUCUAUGAAAAGGGUUACUUCUCUUGAGCCGUCGGAGCUUAAGCCUGACAUUCUCAAUAGUGACUUUGCUAGCCAUUGGCAAAAUUUGCAAUAUGGACGGUAUUGCCAAAACUCACAGUAUUCUACACCUCUGAUCUACCCUUCACCUGUUAUGGCGCCUCCUGUCUAUUUACAGGGACGUGUUCCCUGGGAUGGCCCUGGAAGACCGCUUUCAACAAACAUGAAUCUAUUAACCCAACUCAUGAGCUAUGGGCCCCGACUUGUUCCUGUUGCUCCUCUCCAGACCUUGUCUAAUAGACCUACUGCUGUUUAUCAACGUUAUGUUGACGAGAUACCAAAAUAUCGUAGUGGGACUGGAACAUACCUGCCAAAUCCUAAGGUUUCGGCAAGGGACCGCCAUUCUACUAGCACAAGACGGGGUAAUUACAAUUACGACAGAAAUGAUCACCAUGGUGAUAGAGAAGGAAACUGGAAUGCCAAUCCAAAGUCACGACCUUCUGGGCGUAGCCACAGUCGAAGCCAGGCUGAAAAACCAAAUGCAAGGCUGGAUCGUUUGACAGCGAAUGAGAACCGAAGUGAAAGGGCAUGGGUCUCACAUAGGCAUGACUCAUUCCCUGCGUACCAGUCUCAAAAUGGUCCUAUCCGCUCAAACUCUACGCAGAGUGCUUCCACCAAUGUACCAUAUAGCAUGUAUUCGUUGCCCGCCAUGAACCCUAGCGAGGCAGCAUCUAAUGGUCCCAGCAUGCCACCUGUUGUAAUGUUCUAUCCUUAUGAUCACAAUGCUGGCUAUGGGACACAUGCAGAACAGCUCGAGUUUGGCUCUCUUGGACCAAUGGGUUUUUCAAGUUUAAAUGAAGUAUCGCAACUAAAUGAGGGAAGUCGGAUAAGUGGGGCAUUUGAAGAACAAAGAUUUCAUGGUAACUCUGUUCAACAAUCUUCACCUGAUCAGCCUUCCUCACCCCACAUUCAGAGGUAGUUGGUCCAGCUGCGCCUCACUUAAACAAGACUGAAAAAGAAAUACUUCCAAGCGCGUAGCGCUUUUGUAUCCUCAUUACAUUCAUGUUGCUGCCAAUUUUGGGAUAUGAUGGUAGCUGCUGAUCACCAAUCAUGUCUUUUUAAUGUUGUUUUCAAAAGCAAUUUUCCCUUCCGUGAAUGCUUCUCCCUUGGGUAUAAAAGGGGCGAUUUCACUGGGGAGUUUGAUCAUUUUUCCAGAUCUGUGGCUCACAGAAGAAGUGUCAGUUGAAAGAUGAGGAUUUUCCACCUCUGAUAUUUGCAGACCAAGGAGGGAAUGCUAUGAUGGUGGGAGAAACUACAGUUGAGAACUUACCCCAUCACCGGGAAAUCUUAUCCUCGCCGUGCUUGUGACAGAGGCCGAAUUCGAUAAUCCGCUCUGAUGAAUUCAUGUUUUCUUUCUCAUGGAAAGGCUACUUCAACGCUGGUUCGGUGCGUUAUGCGUUCACUACUGAGUAGUUAACAAGCUUCUUUUCCAAUUACAGUGAGUAGGUGGUAAAGGUUCUAUACGAUUUUAAACUAGAAGAGGAGAACAGAAAAGAAAGAAAAAGUAACGGUGAAGUCUCUUACCAGCAUUUUAUUUUAGGUUAUGACACAUUGUAACUGACUGAACUAGAAAAGGCCUUCAGAGUCAGAACUUACGAAUUUUCCUUUGAAUCUGUUCCGUCAUAGUCAUCAGUGUACCCUUUUUUUCUUUUUAUAGACUCAUGUUAACAUUGUUAACAGUGUAUCAAUAAUACGGCCAAUGAUCAAAAUCUAUUUAGUUUC